rnacentral:rRNA from 1 species
AUUGAACGCUGGCGGCAUGCUUUACACAUGCAAGUCGAACGGUAACAGGCCGCAAGGUGCUGACGAGUGGCGAACGGGUGAGUAAUGCAUCGGAACGUGCCCAGUCGUGGGGGAUAACUACUCGAAAGAGUAGCUAAUACCGCAUACGAUCUAUGGAUGAAAGCGGGGGACCGUAAGGCCUCGCGCGAUUGGAGCGGCCGAUGUCAGAUUAGGUAGUUGGUGGGGUAAAGGCUCACCAAGCCAACGAUCUGUAGCUGGUCUGAGAGGACGACCAGCCACAUUGGGGGAGAGGCAGAGCCGAGACUCUUGCGGUGGGCAGCAGUGGGGAAUGUUGGGCAAUGGGGGCGAGCCUGAUCCAGCAAUGCGACGUGCAGGAAGAAGGCGUUCGGGUUGUAAAGUGCUUUUGUACGGAGCGAAACGGCUCUGGUUAAGACGCGGGGCUAAUGACGGUACCGGAAGAAUAAGCACCGGCUAACUACGUG